AUUGGACGCUGGCGGCAUGCUUUACACAUGCAAGUCGGACGGCAGCACAGAGAAGCUUGCUUCUUGGGUGGCGAGUGGCGAACGGGUGAGUAAUAUAUCGGAACGUACCGAGUAAUGGGGGAUAACUAAUCGAAAGAUUAGCUAAUACCGCAUAUUCUCUGAGGAGGAAAGCAGGGGACCUUCGGGCCUUGCGUUAUUCGAGCGGCCGAUAUCUGAUUAGCUAGUUGGUGGGGUAAAGGCCUACCAAGGCGACGAUCAGUAGCGGGUCUGAGAGGAUGAUCCGCCACACUGGGACUGAGACACGGCCCAGACUCCUACGGGAGGCAGCAGUGGGGAAUUUUGGACAAUGGGCGCAAGCCUGAUCCAGCCAUGCCGCGUGUCUGAAGAAGGCCUUCGGGUUGUAAAGGACUUUUGUCAGGGAAGAAAAGGCUGUUGCUAAUAUCAAUAGCUGAUGACGGUACCUGAAGAAUAAGCACCGGCUAACUACGUG
rnacentral:rRNA from 1 species